AGUUUUGAAAAAGGUUUUAUCAUCUAAAAUUUAUAAUAAUUUCAUAACAUUAAGUCUUGCUAGUUCUAUAAUGAUAAGUCAAUGUUAUUCGAGAAAUGAAGAUUAUGUAAUAUAUGCUCACAGUUUGAUGAAACACUUUGUCUGUCAGUCUAUUCAAAUUUACGGUCCGGAUUUUGUAUCACACAACAUACAUAACUUUUUGCAUUUAAGCGACUGUGUAAAAUUAUAUGGUUCACUUGACAAUUUUAGCGCUUUUCCUUUUGAAAAUUAUAUGCAACAAUUAAAGAAGAAAGUUCGUAAAUCAGCUCAGCCUUUACAGCAAGUUAUAUGUACAUCGCGUGCUUGAGGAAAGUAAUAUUGCUCAACAUAACUUUAAUAAUAUCUAAUAUAAUAUAAGUGUUCGAUAUACGACCUAUAUGAUUCACGCCGGACACCGAUCGCGGUGAUAUCAUUGUUUUCGUUCUCGUAUCAUCUCGGUGAAAUUCGGCGUAUUCCGAAAACACGGACGAGUGGGGAAAUGAGCCUCGACGGUUUCCAUCGAUGUGUCCGUGAUAUACUUCUGUUACAACAGUCGCGCGAAUAACAAGUAAGACCUUCACAACAACCGGCGAGCGAACGAACGAACAUUGUACAUCGAUCUACUCGGCACCGCAACAAUAAAUCUCGAUCUUGAGAAUUAAAUUUGAUUGCAUAUGUUACGUGGAUUUCCCCGUCACAUCACAGUUUGGCGAGACAAUACAAUUAAGAGAAUUACGGACAUCAAAAUACUCGCAUCACGCAUACGAGAUCACAUUUUCUCGUACAAUAAGCGAUUAAUAAUAUAAGCGAGUAGUUUGGGCACUUAUGACACUUAUAAAAAAGCGCAUCAAAAGGCAAACAAAACCAAAAGUACAAACAUUCUUACUUCUAAUAAUGAAGAGUUGAAAGAGAAAAGAAAACGUAAUACAAAAACUAAAAAACGCAAUAACAAAUCUGAAAGUGAAUCGUCCUUCUCUGAAAUAGAUAGAUCAUCAUCAGAUGAUGAUGCACUAUAUCCUGACGUUCCAAAUUUUAACGAACAAAUUGACUCAAACAAUAGAAAGAAAAAUCAAAUAGAAAAUAACACUCAUAAGUUCAAAGUUACUGUUGAUACUAUUUCUAAUUCUGGUACUAGUACUUCUAUUUCUAAUAUUGUUGAGUCAUAUCAUAAAAACCCGGCUUUGGAAUUAAA